GACGGAGGGGGCGAGCGUUGUUCGGAAUUAUUGGGCGUAAAGAGCUCGUAGGCGGUUUGUCGCGUCUGCUGUGAAAACUCGGGGCUUAACUCCGGGCCUGCAGUGGGUACGGGCAGACUAGAGUGCGGUAGGGGAGACUGGAAUUCCUGGUGUAGCGGUGAAAUGCGCAGAUAUCAGGAGGAACACCGGUGGCGAAGGCGGGUCUCUGGGCCGUAACUGACGCUGAGGAGCGAAAGCAUGGGGAGCGAACAGG
rnacentral:rRNA from 1 species